AUUGAACGCUGGCGGCAGGCCUAACACAUGCAAGUCGAACGAGUGGCGGACGGGUGAGUAAUGUCUGGGAAACUGCCCGAUGGAGGGGGAGAACUACUGGAAAAGGUAUCCAAUACCGCAUACCCUCGGAUGUGCCCAGAUGGGGUUAGCUAGUAGGUGGGGUAACGGCCCACCUAGCCGACGACCCCUAGCUGGUCUGAGAGGAUGACCAGCCACACUGGAACUGAGACACGGUCCAGACGCCUACGGGAGGCAGCAGUGGGGAAUAUUGCAAAAUGGGCGCAAGCCUGAUGCAGCCAUGCCGCGUGUAUGAAGAAGGCCUUCGGGUUGUAAAGUACUUUCAGCGAGGAGGCGUUACUCGCAGAAGAAGCACCGGCUAACUACGUGCCAGCAGCCGCGGUAAUAC
rnacentral:rRNA from 1 species